rnacentral:lncRNA from 1 species
CUCACAACUCAGUCCCCGCUUGAAAAUGGGACUCAACCACAGGGAGUGGCCUCCACAACAUCACAGCACCUCUCUGGACAGGACAAUGUCUGGUCAGCCUCGGAGGGGAAGGCCUGUAUCUUCCCUCAGAUUGGACCAGUUGUGGAGGGUCACCCCACCUCCGGAGCCCCCUUUUGUAAAGUCCUACAGUGGAGUCUGGAUUCUCGUCCUGAGGGCAAAGGGAAGACAUGGAAGGGAUUAAGACCAGAGAAUUCGUCCCUGCUCUGUUUCCCCCUCUGCUUUCCUUGUCGCCUCUUUCCCCCUCUUUCUGUCCCAGGACCACUCUCUCUGUUGUCCAGGGCACCGAUACUUUUAUUUUCCCCUCAUUCUCUCAGUUCCAGGUACCUGCCCCUUGCGGUUCCCACAUCUACCCUGAUCAAGGUCUCUCUCACCCAGUUUGCUUCCCUUUGUCUUUUUGAAGGCGCCUUUCUACCUAGGUUUCUUCUGACUCACUCUUUUGCUCUGACUGUAUCUCCACAUCCACCUGGUCCAUCGUCUAUUUCAGCCUCUCUUUUUCACUCUUCCUUUCUCUGUCGGUCUUUCUCAUCCCCUACCCUGUACAUUCACAGGUACGGAAGAGAUAGGGAGAUGUCCCCUACCCACGAAAUGCAUUUUCCAGUGGGGCUUCGGGAAUGUAAACACACCGCGACAAGCACAGACAGUGGGAUGCGUUUUGUGCAGAAGAAACACAAAGAAUGUAAUCAAAUGGGUGCGUGUCACCUCUUUCAGCGCGUGGGGCAGAGAACUCCAACGCGGUGAGUGCAAAGUGCAAAGGAUGACUACGGAGGGAAGGGGCCGACUCCUGAGGCUACGUAGAUAUGGAAGCUGUCAGGAGAGGGGUGAUGUCUGCACGACCCCGAGGCAGAGGAGAAGAUGUGGCCUCCGGGUAUACAUGGCCAAGCGGCAGAAGAGAAUCCACCCCGGAAGUGAGAGCUUUGCACAGCGCGGCUGAGAGAGACAGAGAGAGAGGGAGGAUCGGAGCCUGUGGAGGUCACUGCAGGCACUUCAAGCAGGCAAGAGGCGUCACCUGGACCCAAGGCUGAAAGGCCAGUGAGGAGACCCGCUUUAUAGAGCGAUUUUAACUCGAAAUAGACGAGGACCUCCGAUCCGCCGCGGAGCUGUUAGGCCUUGAAAGUAUCGCGAUAAUGCCGAGACUUACCGAGGGCGGACGAGUGGAUGAAGGGGAUCUUAACGUAAUUGACGACCCCUGAACCUUGGAUGUGGCGGAUCGGGGGCGUGAGGGGCGUCUAAAAUACCCAGUCGUGACAGAAAAACCAAGGGCUGCGCCCCUCCCUCCGCUUCCGGGUUUGCGGGAAAUUGCGCCUGCGCAGGCGGAGCGAGGGCGGGGCCGGCGAGGGGCGGGGCGUAGGCGGUAUCAGGGACUGAACUGAAAGCAAGAGGGCGGGGCCGACAGGGCGGGGCCUAGAGGAAUCAGGAUCUGGCUUCUGUCCCACUGUUUUUCUGCCCAACAGGGCAUGAUCCUCUUCUUCAGAAUUUUCUUUAUUUUCUUUUUAAUUUUAAAAAUGUAUUUUCUGCUGCUCUGGGUGUUCCUUGCUGGGCUAGGGCUUCUCCUUACAGUGGUUUCUCUUGUUGCGGAGCACUGGCUCUAGGCGCCUGGCUUCAGUAUUUGCAGCACUCGGGCUCAGAAGUUGUGGUGCACAUGGGUUUAGCUGCUCCGCGGCAAGUGAGAUCUUGCUGGAUCAGGAAAGUCCCUUUGGUGUCCUAUGGACCCUACCGCUUCUUUGCUAUUUUAAGUUAAUGUGUCAUCAAUGAUGGAGAAGGAAAUGGCAACCCACUCCAGUUUUCUUGCCUGGAAAAUCCCAUGGACGGAGGAACCUGGUAGGCUACAGUCCAUGGGGUCGCAAAGAGUCGGACACGACUGAGUGACUUCACUUUCAGCCACUUAAAUUUCAAGCUGAGAUGUUUUCCUCUCAAGUUGAAAAUGGCUUAAGUCAAUGCUCUUUUGCUAGUGGGUAGUGUUGAGUAAUAUAAUUUAAAAUGACAUCAUCUUACAACCCAGAAGUCCUCUCCACAAAGGUAGUAGAAGAAGGAAACAGUUUUACUAUUAAAUAAGUAUUAAACCAGAAAGUGAUGUCCAUCACAGGCAAUCUGCUAAGAGACUGCAGACUGAAAGUCCUAACCUGUAAUAUUAGAUAAGCAGAUACAAGUGUUUACAUACUUGUUCUCAAGAUAAACAAUAACUCGUUCUCAGAUAAGAAGAUGUGAUAGCAUCAUUUGUCACAAAAAGUUCAUCCUAACUUCACCAGGUAAUUGGACUAACCAACUGUGUUAGCUAAUUGUCUUUAUCCAGAGGAAAAACAAACUUAUCCUAUCUUUAUGACAGGAGAGAGUUCUGCAGCAUGGAACAAGGCACCUGCUAAGUUAGGUUCUUGUUGUUCAGUUGCUAACUUGUGUCCAAUUCUUUGUGACCCCAUGGACUGUAGCCCACCAGACUCCUCUGUCCAUGGGAUUUCCCAGGCAAGAAUACUGGAGUGGUUGCCAUUUCCUUCUCCAGGGAUCUUCCCACCCAGGGAUCGAACUGGAGUCUCCUGCAUUGGCAGGCAGAUUCUUUACCACUGAGCUACCUGAGAAGCCCAAGUUAGAUUCUUACCCUUAUGCAGAAACUGGGAGAUAAGUUUGCUAUCUCCUUUGAUGUUUACCUUUCAAAGAGAUGGCUUCCAGAUCCUUGAGGAAAUAUUCCUGGGUUGCAAAAUUGACAAGAGCCUUGUUUAGCUUUAAGGUUGUGCAUACAUUUCAAGGAAGCCAGGAAAAGAC